rnacentral:rRNA from 1 species
GAUGAACGCUGGCGGCGUGCUUAACACAUGCAAGUCGAGCGAAGCGCUUAAGUUUGAUUCUUCGGAUGAAGACUUUUGUGACUGAGCGGCGGACGGGUGAGUAACGCGUGGGUAACCUGCCUCAUACAGGGGGAUAACAGUUAGAAAUGACUGCUAAUACCGCAUAAGACCACAGUACUGCAUGGUACAGUGGUAAAAACUCCGGUGGUAUGAGAUGGACCCGCGUCUGAUUAGGUAGUUGGUGAGGUAACGGCCCACCAAGCCGACGAUCAGUAGCCGACCUGAGAGGGUGACCGGCCACAUUGGGACUGAGACACGGCCCAGACUCCUACGGGAGGCAGCAGUGGGGAAUAUUGCACAAUGGGCGAAAGCCUGAUGCAGCGACGCCGCGUGAAGGAUGAAGUAUUUCGGUAUGUAAACUUCUAUCAGCAGGGAAGAAAAUGACGGUACCUGACUAAGAAGCCCCGGCU